rnacentral:tRNA from 1 species
GCGGGAGUGCUGGAAUUGGCAGACAGGCAAGACUAAGGAUCUUGUGGUGUUCGCAUCGUGUGGGUUCAAGUCCCAUCUCCCGCA